rnacentral:rRNA from 1 species
AGAGUUUGAUCAUGGCUCAGGAUGAACGCUGGCGGCGUGCUUAACACAUGCAAGUCGAACGAAGCAUUUAAGAUGGAUUCUUUCGGGAUGAAGACUUUUAUGACUGAGUGGCGGACGGGUGAGUAACGCGUGGGUAACCUGCCUCACACAGGGGGAUAGCAGUUGGAAACGGCUGAUAAUACCGCAUAAGCGCACAGUACCGCAUGGUACAGUGUGAAAAACUCCGGUGGUGUGAGAUGGACCCGCGUCUGAUUAGCUUGUUGGCAGGGUAACGGCCUACCAAGGCAACGAUCAGUAGCCGACCUGAGAGGGUGACCGGCCACAUUGGGACUGAGACACGGCCCAGACUCCUACGGGAGGCAGCAGUGGGGAAUAUUGCACAAUGGAGGAAACUCUGAUGCAGCGACGCCGCGUGAGUGAAGAAGUAAUUCGUUAUGUAAAGCUCUAUCAGCAGGGAAGAUAGUGACGGUACCUGACUAAGAAGCUCCGGCUAAAUACGUGCCAGCCGCCGCGGUAAUUC